GAAGGGAAAGAGGAAAUAAAUCACAGCUGAGUCUCCACAGGCUCUGGGAAGGUCUCUGGCUCUGGGGAACGUCAGGAAGGAGCCAGGAGGCCUCCGCCUUGGAACCACAGCCUGAGUCUGGGGGGCUGAGGAGAAGGGGCUGCUGAGCAGUGGGGAUCAGUGUUAUGUGGGGUCAGUAUCGGGCUUGGGAUCGACCCCAUAGUCCUCGGAGUGAGGGAGGAUAGAGCCCAGGCUGGGAGACCGGUUCUGCUGUGUGUCUCUGGGCAAAUCUCCUCCCCUCUCUGAGCCUCAAUCACCCCAUCUGGAAGGUGGGGCAGGACUGGAUGGACAGGAGAAGCCCUUCCAGCUCUGAUGCUAUGUGGAAAUGGACACAUCGAGUCAGCGGAGGGGCUGAGAUUCCGGAGGGAGGCUGGCUGGGAGCACUGAGACCCAGGGACCCCGCGCUGGAGGCAGAGGGUCCAACCAAGGGUGGUGCCAGACUCAGCCACAGGAGGAGGAGAGGAGCCAGGAGGCAGCCAGGGCCAGGAAGAAGUCCAGCGUGGUGACAUUAACAGGGAGAUGGAACCGCCUGGCUUUUUGGUCCCUGGACACGGGCACCAUCACACACCUGAGCGAAGCCCCAUCUCCUGCUGUCCCCGCCGGUCCCGCCCCCCGCCUGCUGCAUGAGCUGUUUCCUACCUCAGGACCUUCGGCAGGGUCAUGGCACGGCCCGGGCACCUCCUGGCCCUGCUUAAAUAUCGCCUCCCCCAAAGCGCCUUCCUUGACGAUUCUACCCAAGAGGGUCACCCUGACAUUAUCUAUUUCAGCACCGCACUGUUGAAUACAUAAAAUUCACCGCGAUUUAUAAUCAAUCCGAUGGUCUAUCUCAUUAUCAUGUAUUUCACUACUGUUCGUUGUAAUAACGGCCCUCCUGCUACAGUGUCACCUAAAACCGAGCAGGGGCCAUGUGGGUGCUCCACAGACGUUUGCUGAUGGUCAUCAAACAUUUCUGGAAAAACCACAUGAAGGAGAGAAUGGUUCACCUGGCUUUGGGAGGAGGAGAAGGAACUAGAAAGGUGAAAGGACGUGUUCAUCUGUAUCAGCAGAAAACUCAACUGUCCGUAGCUGAACUUGUAAGGACAGCUGUGGCUGACUUAGCCAGGUGUCUGGAUGGCGGAUGGCCUGAGCAUAAUGAUGUCAGCUGGCGCCCCAGUUCCUUCCAUCUCUCCUGGUCAGAUUGGGCUUCUAUCACAGAGUGCCACAGACUGGGUGGCCAGAAGCCAGAAGUCCAAGACCGGGGUGCCAGCGUGGUCGGGAACCCGCCUCCGGGUUGCACACUGUCCACUUCUUGUAUCCUGUCAUGGCAGAAAGAGUGUGAGAGACUUUUGGGUGCCCCCAUUUUUUUGGAGGGGGGAGGGGCAGAGGCAGAGGGAAAGAAAGAAUCUUAAGCAGGCUCCAUGGCCAGCUCGGAGCCUGAUUCAGGGCUCAAUCCCUCAACACUGAGAUCAUGACCUGAGCCAAAAUCAAGAGUCCGACGCUUAACUGACUGAACCAUCCAGGUGCCCCUUGGGUCCCUUUUGUAUGGGCAUAAAUCCCAUCCAAGAGGGCUCUGCCUUUGUGACCUAAUGACCUCCCAAAGGCCACACCUGCCCACACCAUGACCCUGAGGGUUAGGAUUCCAACAUGUGGAAGCUGGGGGGACACAAACAUUCAGUCCACCGCACCAUCUACCACUUUAGUACUCUCAGCAGGUUGGUCCUUAUUCUUAGGCUUGAGGUCUCAUGGUCACAAGAUGGCUGCCACAGUUCCAGGCAUCACAGCCUCACACAACAGUGUCCAAAAUAGGAAGGGAGGGAAGGGAGCAAAGGAACCAUCUCCUGUGGUUUUCUCUUCCAUCGGAGAGGAAAAUCUUUACCUUGAAGCAUAGUGUCACUUACCAGGCCCUCCAGAGUUUCCUCCUUAUGUUGUUAUCACUCUAAAAGGGACCACAUGUCCACCCAAGACUCAUGAGUGGCAAAGCACACAGACUGCCACGAUUACCUUAGACCAGCUGAGAUUCAUCCUGCAAUCAUCUGCGUUAUACAUAAUUCACCAAGAACUUUCUGUAGCAGGGAGGAGAGCAGACAAUGGCAGUGCCCCAUUCACUGUCUCUUAGGAGCCUCCCAGUGUCCUAUGGGAUAGACAAGGUGACUCUUCCUGGUCUCUAGGACAUUGUCCUCCUGGUCAUUUGGGAAAGCAGGGCUCAGGGAGGUUACGGAGGGUGCUCAGCGGGCGCCUGGGUGGCUCAGACAGUGAAGCAUCUGCCUUCGGCUCAGGUCAUGAUCUCAGGGUCCUGGGAUCGAGCCUCACAUCGGGCUCCCUGCUUAGUGGGG